rnacentral:rRNA from 1 species
UACGGGGGGGGCAAGCGUUGUUCGGAAUUACUGGGCGUAAAGGGCUCGUAGGUGGCCAACUAAGUCAGACGUGAAAUCCCUCGGCUUAACCGGGGAACUGCGUCUGAUACUGGAUGGCCUGAGUUUGGGAGAGGGACGCGGAAUUCCAGGUGUAGCGGUGAAAUGCGUAGAUAUUCGCAAGAACACCAGUGGCGAAGGCGGCUCACUGGCCCGAUACUGACGCUGAGGCACGAAAGCGUGGGGAGCAAACAGG